GAUGAACGCUGGCGGCAUGCCUAACACAUGCAAGUCGAACGAGGCAGCAAUGCCUAGUGGCGAACGGGUGAGUAAUGCAUCGGAACGUGCCCAGUCGUGGGGGAUAACGCAGCGAAAGCUGCGCUAAUACCGCAUACGAUCUCUGGAUGAAAGCGGGGGACCGAAAGGCCUCGCGCGAUUGGAGCGGCCGAUGUCAGAUUAGGUAGUUGGUGGGGUAAAGGCCCACCAAGCCAACGAUCUGUAGCUGGUCUGAGAGGACGACCAGCCACACUGGGACUGAGACACGGCCCAGACUCCUACGGGAGGCAGCAGUGGGGAAUAUUGGACAAUGGGCGCAAGCCUGAUCCAGCAAUGCCGCGUGCAGGAAGAAGGCCUUCGGGUUGUAAACUGCUUUUGUACGGAACGAAACGGUCCGGGUUAAUACCCUGGGCUAAUGACGGUACCGUAAGAAUAAGCACCGGCUAACUACGUGCCAGCCGCCGCUGUAA
rnacentral:rRNA from 1 species